rnacentral:rRNA from 1 species
CCGAGUUGUAAUUUGGAGACGGGACACUAGAGAGGAGGAAGGCGAUUAAGUGCCUUGGAACAGGCUGCCGUAGAGGGUGAGAGCCCCGUGAAUCGCUGGAGACCGAUCAAUUAGUGCCCGCCGAAGAGUCGAGUUGUUUGGGAAUGCAGCUCUAAGCGGGUGGUAUAUUCCAUCUAAGGCUAAAUAUUAGCGAGAGACCGAUAGCAAACAAGUACAGUGAUGGAAAGAUGAAAAGAACUUUGGAAAGAGAGUGAAAUAGUACGUGAAAUUGUUGAAAGGGAAGGGUAUUUGAUCCGACAUGGUGUUUAGCAGCGGCCCGUUCCUCGUGGAUGGGUGCACCUGGUUUACACUGGGCCAGCAUCGGUUCUGGGAGCCAUAUACGGGGUUCGUGAAUGUGGCCCUUCGAUUCUGUCGGAGG